CGGACGGGUGAGUAAUGUAUGGGGAUCUGCCUGAUGGCGGGGGAUAACUACUGGAAACGGUAGCUAGUACCGCAUAAUGUCUACGGACCAAAGCGGGGGACCUCCGGGCCUCGCGCCAUCAGAUGAACCCAUAUGGGAUUAGCUUGUAGGUAAGGUAACGGCUUACCUAGGCGACGAUCCCUAGCUGGUCUGAGAGGAUGAUCAGCCACACUGGGACUGAGACACGGCCCAG
rnacentral:rRNA from 1 species